UGGAAUAGGUGUAGCGGUAAGGAAAGACCGUCGUGGCGAAGAGGAAACAGAAGAGAGAUAGGUAGGUCGCCGAGACGAGAGGAAGGAGAGAGAGAGAGGCACGACGUCAGUGUGUGUGCGGGUGCCGGGCCGUAAGUGGAGAGAGAAGAAGGAGGUGUUACUUGGUUCGUGGUGAGAGACGACCUGGCACCGCCGUCUUAGCUCGUGCCCACGCGCGCCGGCAGAACGGUUACUGGCCACCGACGAAGCGCAAGCAGCUGUCUAACGCUACGACGACGACGAGCAUACCCGAGGGCCACUGGCCCGGUCGUGCGCAACCCCGACCGACCCGAGGAUCGUCGGCCGGAGGGGCGGAGGAGGUUGUAGCGGACCUCUCCUCGAGGAGACACGAAGGCUCGGCGGAGGAGCUCGUCCCGUCGGUCUCCCUUCCCUCAGCGGUGUACCUUGUGUUGACCUUGCGGGGCGGAAUCUCGAGUGACGGAGGCCGUUGGAGAGACAGCCGGAGCACGAGGAGACAGAACUCGUGGGGGAGGACCGGCGGCAGGUAGAGAACCACCACGGACAAUCCGUCCGCAACUACGAAUAGGAGCCAAGAGAGAGACAGUCUACAGAGGAAAUCCGGCUCCUCCUACUCACCCCGAGAGCGUUGACCCGUCGACGCCGGCGCAAUUGACUCCCGCUCGUGCGCACAGGAUGCGUAUACCGGGGAGGAGGCGCGGAGGCGAGGACGAGGAGGAGAGCGGGCCCGUCGCAGGGUGGGUGCGGGAAGUACACGAGCGGCGGCAACAAGACGUGGGCUAGCCUAGCCCUCGCGGCAUCGAGCUAUGUCGGGUUUUUCUAGAACUUGGCAAAAAAGAAAUUGAGUGGCUCCUGACGCCCAACUUAUCGGCUUUAUCAUCUCCCAAAAGACGUUUGUAAGACUGCAUACUGGUCUUCGUGAGGCACGAAAUAAUCAUCCCUUUUCUAUAUGUACAGUUGAUAAAGUACGGGAGAAAAAAGGUGUGAUAGAUAACGUAGACAGAGAGUAUGUUACAGACAUGUAAGUUGAUACAAAGGACAAAUAGUCGGUAAACUUUACCUCGCCCACUACGGUCAUAGAUCGCCUGAUUUUUAUGCCAGAAGUUUAUUUUGUCACGAUGGAUAACCACCUCUAUCGUGGGACCAACAUGUACGUGUUCUUGGUCGCGAUGGUGUGUAUUGGGUUUGAGAGCGUCUAACAUGGGGAUGAUGCUACCUGUCUCUUGGUCGAAGUGGGUUAGAUUGGGGUUGGGGUCGGCUAUUAUUGGAUCAAGGACAACUGUGUCGUGGUAGAGGUGGUAUCUCGAGGGUUUGUUCUCGUCAAUCAUUCCGUCGAGGUCACGGGUUUCCCGGUCAUGAUAGUGCCGCUUGGGGUUGAGGUGGUCAAUCAUGCGGAUAAGGACACUCCUUCGUGUUGGUCGAUCAGCAUCAAAUCGUAGAUAGCGUAAACUACAACAAUUUAGCAUACACGCAUAGAAGGGUAGAACCUUUAUAAUAUGACUUCUACUUCUUUUUACGGUCAACGUCCACAAACAGGUCCUCAAUACAUCUUCCUGGUUAAACCUUUGAGUCCUACUCCAUUGGACACGAUUAUGGAGACGAUAGAAGUUCUUACGAACCACCGUCAUAGCCUUAAUGGACUUUUUUUGCAUGAAGUGGCCGUUUCUUUGAGUAGUUUAAGGGAAUGCAAGAGGACACUGUGUAAAUGACCUGUUACUGACCCUUACGGAACACGACAUGACCAGGGCUUGGUUCUUACACUUACGACUGUUUUAUAACCCCUUCUCACGGAAUAAUUCGUUGUUAUUUCCUUCAUUACGUCUAUUGCAAGUCCUAUCACUGUGUAGGACAGAACCAAAUCACAACCUCAAUAACCGGUGAUGGCGAACGUAUUCGAUAAGUUUGAAUGACAGACCUAGUCAAGCUAAAGAACUCAGAGUUGAUGUUCGACUUUCUGUAGCUAGUCGACCCGACGCUGUUCUUCACCUUCCUGACGCCUUCGGGGACCUUGUAAGUCUACGUAUGAAAGACCACAUUAUCGUUCGCAACCUCCUAAAAUCGCGGUUUGUCCUGUUUCGAUUAGUCGAAAAAUUCGAAUAACGGUCGUACCACCUAUGGGUCCUAUUGCAAAGAACUCGAGAAGACUUCAACAAAGUCAAUACGAGAACAAAACGACAGCGCAAAUAAACGUGACCACCGGUUAAAACUGCCGGUCACAUAUACUAUACGACGAAACAAGGGAUAUAAACGUGACCACCACUUGAAACCACGGGUCACCUACAUUAUACACAUUAUCGGUACUAUCGGAUCGCAAUCAACGAACGAAUAAAUAAAGGAACAACAGAAUAAAUAAA
rnacentral:rRNA from 1 species